rnacentral:rRNA from 1 species
AUUGAACGCUGGCGGCAUGCCUUACACAUGCAAGUCGAACGGCAGCACGGGUGCUUGCACCUGGUGGCGAGUGGCGAACGGGUGAGUAAUACAUCGGAACAUGUCCUGUAGUGGGGGAUAGCCCGGCGAAAGCCGGAUUAAUACCGCAUACGAUCUACGGAUGAAAGCGGGGGACCUUCGGGCCUCGCGCUAUAGGGUUGGCCGAUGGCUGAUUAGCUAGUUGGUGGGGUAAAGGCCUACCAAGGCGACGAUCAGUAGCUGGUCUGAGAGGACGACCAGCCACACUGGGACUGAGACACGGCCCAGACUCCUACGGGAGGCAGCAGUGGGGAAUUUUGGACAAUGGGCGAAAGCCUGACCCAGCAAUGCCGCGUGUGUGAAGAAGGCCUUCGGGUUGUAAAGCACUUUUGUCCGGAAAGAAAUCCUUGGCCCUAAUACGGUCGGGGGAUGACGGUACCGGAAGAAUAAGCACCGGCUAACUACGUG